CUGUAAACCACGGAGAGCAGGGUGCAGAGCUGUUCGGUGACACGCAGCUACCAAGACAAUACUCCAGGGCAUUCCGAAGCUACCCCCUUGGAAGGAAAAAGAAAUCACUUAGCUGAUGCUGCAACUUAUUAGGCAGAGGACAGAGGCCCCGGACGGACAGGGAAUUUCCUGUUCUCUGACCCGCACGGCGCCCAGAUGCUCUCCGGGUGGGGCCUCCCACCUGGGACAAGCCCCUCUCCGUCCACGCCCCCACCUGCUCUGUGUAAAGCACUUACAAGAACUUGAUCACAACUUGUGUCCGAGCAUUUGGAUGUUUGCAGCUUGGACUCUGAGGCUGCUUACAGGCCGGACUCAGAGGCCUUGGAAUCGGCCUGCGCUUUCGUUCCACGAGCCGAUCCGGAACCAGGACCUGGACCAGCGCCGAGCGUGCCACCCGGGGCUCUGCCGCAGGGCAGCCCCACCUGCCAGAGAACCCACGGCGUACACGGGCGGUCGUCUUCCCCCGUGUCACUCAUCUCCGUGAUCGGCAGCUCCUGUACUUCUGCCUUUAGGAAACUUCCUCUAUCCCACCCCGGACUUUGAGGAUUUUAUUUUUAGAGAGAGGGGGCCCUGGCUGGUGUGGCUCAGUGGACUGAGCUCUGGCCUGCGAGCCCAAGGGUCACCGGUUCGAUUCUGGGUC